rnacentral:lncRNA from 1 species
UCCAUUGAAAAAAAAGUAUUAAGACAUUCGACUGUUUUCAUAUUUCUAACAAUAUUUAAUUAUAUGUGAUAAGGUUAUAUUUUUGCCAGGCUUUAAUGAAAACCAAAGAAAUCUAAAGUUUGGGGUGAAAUCCAUAGCACCCCAUUAAAAGUAAAUGGUCUGUACUGAAAUGUUUUUAAUGCAUAAAAAAAAUUGGCAGAAUAGCUCCUAAGGACAUUUUUUAAUUGAAUUCACACAGGCC